UUCUAACAUAAAAUGAUAAUAGCUUUAAUUUAUAAUAGAAAAUUAUGAAGAUUAAACAGUUGCUCUUAAGAUAGUGCAAACUGACAAAAUGUGCUAGCACUUUGUGGUAGGCAGAAUUCUUGAGAUAUUCCUUCAAGAUUCCUGUCCCUUGGUUAUUAAAGCAAACACUAAUCUAGGAGCUGCUUUGAAAGGACUUUUCAGGUGGAAUCAAAGUUACCUGACCUUAAAAUAGGGAGAUUGUUCUCAGUUAUCUGGGUGGGCCCAAUCAAAACACUUGAGUCCUUGAAAGUAGAGAAAAUCUCUAAUUGGGAUCAUAGAAAUGCAUCUGAAAGGGAGGCAGAAGAGAGAUGAGGGUAAGGGGAGGUCAGAAAUAUUUGGAGUGUGUGGACCAGACCUGCUGCUGCUGGGGACAGGGGUGUGUGUAAAACAUAGGAAAUGUAGACAGCCUCUGAGGGUAAAGCCCCCCUCUGGCUUAUACUCAGCAGCUGCAACAGGGGCUACUGUAGCUGCAAAGAACUGAAUUAGGCCAACAGUCUGAAUGAACUUGGAAGCAGAUUCAUCCCAAGAGCCUCUGGAAAAGAAUGCAGCCCUGCUGACAUGUUGGUUUUGGCUUUGUGAGACUCUAACCAGAGAACCAGUUAAGUCUUGCCUUGCCUUGCCUGGACUUCUGACUCAAUAACAAUCAGGAGUAAUGAAUGGUAAUGUGACCUCACUGGAAUGCAAGGAUGUCUUUUCCAAGUGAUAUGAAUUUUACACCAAUAUUGAAGAUAUGAAUGCAUUAUAGGAUAAUAGACAAAUAUUGAAGAAACUAAUGUAUUGUUAAAUGGAAAAAAAGUUAACUUUUAGAGUGAGUGGGUG
rnacentral:lncRNA from 10 species